AGACGCCGAGAACAUUUGAACGAGCGUGCGAAAUGAUGAAAUACUAUUGUUCGUGCUAUUUGUAGCAUUUGCGAUUGUAAACGCCCCGCCAUCGUUAAUAAAAACCGAAUUACCGAUACCGCGCACGGUGGGACCGCCACUUGAUACCGCGGUACGCGACGGGAAAACGUAGUUGCGGUAAAACGUUGAAAACAGUGACGAAAUAUUUUUGCUGUGAUGAUAUUA